UGCAGUCGAACGCGCGUCUCAGGAGCUUGCUCCUGUGACGCGAGUGGCGGACGGGUGAGUAACACGUAGGCAACCUGCCCAUCAGACCGGGAUAACCACGGGAAACCGUGACUAAUACCGGAUAAUCCUUUUCCUCACAGGAGGGGAAGUUGAAAGGCGGUCUUUUGACUGCCACUGAUGGAUGGGCCUGCGGCGCAUUAGCUAGUUGGUGGGGUAAGGGCCCACCAAGGCGACGAUGCGUAGCCGACCUGAGAGGGUGAUCGGCCACACUGGGACUGAGACACGGCCCAGACUCCUACGGGAGGCAGCAGUAGGGAAUCUUCCGCAAUGGACGAAAGUCUGACGGAGCAACGCCGCGUGAGUGAAGAAGGGUUUCGGCUCGUAAAACUCUGUUGUCAGGGAAGAACGUCCCCGUGAGUAACUGCACGGGGAGUGACGGUACCUGACCAGAAAGCCACGGCUAACUACGUGCCAGCAGCCGCGGUAAUACGUAGGUGGCAAGCGUUAUCCGGAAUUAUUGGGCGUAAAGCGCGCGUAGGCGGUCUGUUAAGUCUGAUGUGAAAGCCCCCGGCUCAACCGGGGAGGGUCAUUGGAAACUGGCAGACUUGAGUGCAGAAGAGGAGAGUGGAAUUCCAUGUGUAGCGGUGAAAUGCGCAGAGAUAUGGAGGAACACCAGUGGCGAAGGCGGCUCUCUGGUCUGUAACUGACGCUGAGGUGCGAAAGCGUGGGGAUCAAACAGGAUUAGAUACCCUGGUAGUCCACGCCGUAAACGAUGAGUGCUAAGUGUUAGGGGUUUCCGCCCCUUAGUGCUGCAGCUAACGCAUUAAGCACU
rnacentral:rRNA from 1 species